rnacentral:rRNA from 1 species
AGCGAACGCUGGCGGCAGGCUUAACACAUGCAAGUCGAGCGCCCGUAGCAAUACGGGAGCGGCAGACGGGUGAGUAACACGUGGGAACGUGCCUUUUGGUUCGGACAACUGAGGGAAACUUCAGCUAAUACCGGAUAAGCCCUUACGGGGAAAGAUUUAUCGCCAAAAGAUCGGCCCGCGUCUGAUUAGCUAGUUGGUGGGGUAAUGGCCCACCAAGGCUACGAUCAGUAGCUGGUCUGAGAGGAUGAUCAGCCACACUGGGACUGAGACACGGCCCAGACUCCUACGGGA